rnacentral:rRNA from 1 species
GACGAACGCUGGCGGCGUGCCUAAUACAUGCAAGUAGAACGCUGAAGGAGGAGCUUGCUCUUCUGGAUGAGUUGCGAACGGGUGAGUAACGCGUAGGUAACCUGCCUGGUAGCGGGGGAUAACUAUUGGAAACGAUAGCUAAUACCGCAUAACAGUAGAUGUUGCAUGACAUUUGCUUAAAAGGUGCAAUUGCACCACUACCAGAUGGACCUGCGUUGUAUUAGCUAGUUGGUGGGGUAACGGCUCACCAAGGCGACGAUACAUAGCCGACCUGAGAGGGUGAUCGGCCACACUGGGACUGAGACACGGCCCAGACUCCUACGGGAGGCAGCAGUAGGGAAUCUUCGGCAAUAGACGGAAGUCUGACCGAGCAACGCCGCGGGAGUGAAGAAGGUUUUCGGAUCGUAAAGCUCUGUUGUAAGAGAAGAACGAGUGUGAGAGUGGAAAGUUCACACUGUGACGGUAUCUUACCAGAAAGGGACGGCUAACUACGUG